rnacentral:lncRNA from 1 species
UCCAUUUGUUAAAAUUUCCAAAAGAAGGGGCACUGUUUGCGAAGGUGCCAAUUUUACCUGAAAGAUCAUAAGGCUGGUAAAGUCAAUAAGUUUGACUCUACUUCAGGUAAAGUCUACUAUCUAACUGUAUUAAGUUUCUUUUCUGAGACUCUUAUUACAUGAUGUGACUGGGUCACAUGUUGAUGUUUUAAGAAUCAAAGGAAAAGUAAAGGAAACUUAAAGAAAGAUUAUGUUGAAUCUAACCGCGAAGAUGGAUUUCUAUCGCUUUGUUGAAGAUCAGAUUCUUGAGCUACUUCUUAGGAGUUAUGAUAGAUUGCUAGGAAACAUGUAAUAGCAUAGUUUUCAUUUCAAGUUACAUUGUAAGGAAAAAGUUUUUUCUGCAUUUUAAAAUAAAUAAAAGUUUGUUUUACUUUAUUUUUAUCUCCUUACAAUGGCAUUCAUGAAAACUUGAUGUUUGUAUGUUUAUAGCAAUAUUGGAAAUAUAAAUUUGAUUCGUUCAUUCGUUGUAGUGUCUAAAUUUACCAAAUAAGGAAAGAUUCUCAUCACCCAAGUUUCAAUUGAACCAAAACUUGGAAUCAUACAAGGUGUUAAGUGUGAUGUAUGAGAAUGUUCAACUUUGGAAAAAUUAAGACUAGUUCCGUGUUAACAUGCAUAUGUGACUCAAGAGAAGGACUAAGGGAUCAAGUACACAUUCUUGUGCACUAGAAAAAGUUCACCACAAAGAUGGAUAAGACUAUUUGUCAUGAUUUACUAAGGUUUAGUAAAUAUGAUUAUACUUACAAGCUUAAGUAUAAUUCUGAGACAUUGGAAAAUUUUCAAUGUAUGACAGAACGAAUAAGAAGAAUCAAAUUAGGCAGAAGGAUAAAAGUUUCUCAAAUCUGAAAAGAUGGGAGAGUACUUAAGUAUCAUGUUUUAAGGUCAUCUUAAUGAUUUUGAGACCUUANGACAAUUCAUCCUCUAAGUGCAUUAUGAUAGUUAAGAAGAGGACUUAUGAAUUGUUGAAGUGGUUAAAUCAAGAAGAUGAUUCAUAAUUCAUUCCAAAGACAAUUCUUAGAGUUAUACUCUAAGAUUGUAACUUGAGUGACAUGUCUUAAAAGAUGUUUAAAAACACCUGUCAAAUGUAAGAGUAAAAGUUUUCUACUCUUGUACAUUUGAAAUUGGUAAUUUGUGAUGUUUUGGAUAAAACAAAGAUCAACUAAGGCCAAUUGUGUUAAGUGUUUGUCUUGAUUAGAAUCCACACUAUCUCUUGAAUAUUUGGCAAGAAAGUCUUAUAGGUCAAGGAGACAGUGGGAGUCUAAGAGAUCCUAAAAGGGUUUCAAGAAGUAAUCAAGAGUAAAAACCUAUAUUUCAUCACUAGCACACAACUAGAGGUUUAUAACCUAUCGUAUUGACAUUUCUGUGCCCAUUCCAGUUAUGUUGGCUAUACAUUUGAGUUCUACAUGUUCUCAAUUGUUUGCAUAGCUACUUGGAAGCAAUGGCAGGCCCUUGAGCCGCCAGGUGGCAAGAAGUUAAGAUUGCACAAGUUCAAUCCAUAUGAGUUUGGAUUUGUCAUUAUCCUUGUCUUGUGACUAUGGUUUUNUGCAAAAUUCACGUGGAUAAGAACACAUACACCAUAAAAUCUAAGUGUCAUAAGGUUUCUCUCCGAUUCAUGAAAAUGAUGGUGAGGAAAUUCUUUCAAUAAGUAGAUAGAAAUUGUAAUAUUUGCAGUUCUCAAAGUCGUUAGUGGAGUGUGCGUGGUUAACCGGCACACUAACAUUGACUUAUGAGAAAUGGAAAAAGGUCUAAACAAUUGAGAUUAUGAUUAUGGCAUCCCUUUUCAUAGUUCUGAAAUUGUUAAGACACACCUGUGAGCUAUCUAAGAUAAGGUGUAUAAUUUUGAUAAAGCCUUAUCAAAGCAAUCUAGUUUCAGAAAUCUGAACUUUGGUAAGAAUGUCAAUAAAGUAUUGACUUCUAGAGGUCCAACUGUUUUCUGGAUACAUGUCAAAGCUAGUGGGAGCAUAAGUGUUAUGCUAAUAAUCAUCAUGUUAGUGGGAGCAUGAUAAUUAUGAUAAGAAUUGCAAGUUAGCAAUGUUAAUUAUAGAAAAGAAAAGUUUCAAUUCGUGAGGUUACAGGGGUUGAAAAAGUUGUUUUGCUAUAAUUAAGGGAGAGGAAAUUAUACUUCAUUUCAAUUCUAAAAAGCUUAGAUUGAGUUUAUAAUCAUUCUAAAGAGCUUAUAUUGAGAUUUUAAUCACCUUUAGUCAAGAAUAUAUAUAUGAAUUUCAUGUUGGAUUGGUUCAACUUAAGAAAAUUCUAUAUAUUGCGUUCUCAAAAUUCGAUUAUGAUUACGGCAUCCCUUUUCAUAGUCAAAUUUUGAGAAUAUGGCAAACAAAAAUUAUUAUGGCAAAAGACUGGUCUAGAACCAUGUCUUUAUGAGAAACAUCAUGAAUUGUGUCCUAUUUACUUUGUGUACAAGAUCAAUUACAUGUGCUAUAAUAUUUAUCAUUUCUGAGUUUUCCAAAUGCCUUGGGGCGUUAAGGAGGAAAAUGUCGAGAAUUGGAUAUGACUAAAUUGAUUAAGCAAUUGUCGAGGACAAUCUAAGGUUUACCAAAGAUUGGUUGCUCAAGGACAGUUGGAAGUAUACUGUUAAUAUUGGAAGGACCAUAUUAACAUAGUGUGAAAAAAAAAGGCAACUCUUGUUCAGAAGUGGUAGUCAAAAUGGGAAUAUAGAGUUGUCUUCAUAGGUGGAAGCAAUCUGUGUAAGGUUAAAGGAACUUAAUGCAAGAAGCAUGUUCAAAGCAAGUCGCUUUGAAUCUGAUACAUCGUUUCCAUGGAAAGCUCUCCAUUGGGAUACUCUGUAAUGAUUGUUGCCAAGCCUUUGUGGCCUUGUGCAUAAUCAUUACAAGAGGAACAGUGCAUAUAAGUUUAAAAUCUAAACAGAAUUCGAUAAAUGAUAGGAAUUUGGAAUUCUUACAUUUAAGACAAGGAUUUAAGAGUAUGAAAAGAGAAUCAUUGAAAUUAUGUUCAAUUGAUCUAGUUCACAAAGAAAAGGAUCAUAGAGUUCAUACUUGGUGUAUGGAAAAGCUAUUGUUUAGAAAACAUAGUGUACAUGCUUGGAGCAUGGGACACCUAGUGUUUUAAUUCAAUUAUAAAGUUGAUAAAACCGAAACAAUGAAUAAUAAGUAGUCAGUAUGGUGACAAAUAGAAAGGGUUUUAUUUAUAUUCAUACCAUAUUAGAUUCAUUUAUUCUUGUGUUUCACUUUGCAUGUUUUGACUUCCAUAAUAACUAGGUUAUUCUUUCGGAAUGACUAAGUUAUUCAAACCAUCCACAGUCGGUCAUAUGUUGGAAGUAGAUAUGAAUCAAGACUGUCAUGGGUUGGCUUGUAGAGGUCCAAGUUGGUGGACAAAGUUGUGCUACAACACUCAUGAGUGCUCAUAAGUUCUGAGUAUUGGAUUCAACACGCGCUCAUUUGAAUCAGUUCAUGCAUUUUAUCAUGAGUGAUCAUGAGACGAUAGUAUCUUAUAUUCUUCAAACCUAGAGAUACGAGUUGUCACUAUGAGUUGGUUGUACAUUGAUUGCACAAAACCGCAUUCGGUAACUCGAUGUUAUAAAACGUGUCUUUGUGUAUGAUUCAACAAGUAGUUGAACAAGCCAUAUGAUUCGAAGUUUAUCCAUUCCUUUUACCUUCGGGAUAAAAGCGAUAUCUGUGGGCCCCUCGAUGAUUUGAUGAUGACAAAUGGAAGUGCUCGGCCGGGCCAGGACUGAUUUGAUUUGUUCAAUUAGUCAGUCGUCAUAAAUCGGAAAUCGGGAAACAACAAAUGGACAGAGAGAAUGAUUAUAAUCCAUGUCUCAGUCCAUAUGAUAUCUAGAAUGGAGGAAUAUAUGAUCCCUUAUCUAAUGGACAAGUCAUUGACAAAGGUCAGAGUUCAUCUACAAGGUCAGAGUUCGACAGAAGCUUUUGAGAGCUACGAUUGCCAGUUGGUUCCUGAAGUCAUACGCAAUAAUAGUUUUAGACUUAUCCAAGUGGGAGACUGUUGGAUUAAUGUCUAAGUCCAUAACUAUAAUUGGUAAGACUUGACCCGACCCGGCAUGGUCCAUUUGGGUUGCAUAGCAUCAUGCACUUGGAUAGACUAUAAUGAGAGAAAUAAGACACUUAUGGUUAUUAAUAUAUUAUAAGUUCUAGUAUAUUAAUAAUAAGAAUAAUAAGAUUAUUUAAUUAGUAUUGAUCAAGAAUUAAUCUAGGAUUAAUUAAGUGAUCAAAAGAAGACUAAUUAAAUAUAUGGGUUGAUUGUGUAAAUCAUCCAUACUUGUAUAGUGGGCUAAUGCUCCAUGGAUAAUCAAGUUGGGCUAAAACCCAUAGGAUGGUCCAUGGAUGCUCCAUGGUGUAUUUGUACCCAUGGAUCNNNNNNNNNNNNNNNNNNNNNNNNNNNNNNNNNNNNNNNNNNNNNNNNNNNNNNNNNNNNNNNNNNNNNNNNNNNNNNNNNNNNNNNNNNNNNNNNNNNNNNNNNNNNNNNNNNNNNNNNNNNNNNNNNNNNNNNNNNNNNNNNNNNNNNNNNNNNNNNNNNNNNNNNNNNNNNNNNNNNNNNNNGCUAGUGGCUAGUAUGGAUACACUAAAGAGGGAAAUAACCAAUUUCAUAAGUGUGAGCCAAGUAUCCAUAUUCUCUAAAGUCUUCCAAGGUGUUUUGGUGAUUUGUGAUUCCACUUGAGGCUUCCACACUAUUGGGGCUAAUCUCUUAAAGUUCAAGACUUCAAGCUUCAUUAAAAGGUAUGUAUUCUAACUUGUUAUAUUACCCAAGUAUCAAGGAUUGUAUGCUAGAUAGGGUAAUACCUUGGAAUAUUCAUAUUUGCAUGUAUAAUAGAGAAAACAUAGAUCCAAGGUAUUUAGGGUUGCAUGUACACUUAGGAGUGUUAGAAUGCUCAAAACCCAACAUGUGGAACCUAUAGAACCGCCACUAGGGAUGCUAACCGCUUCUAUGUGAGUUUUACUAAUGAUUUUAGUAGAUAUGGAUAUGUCUACUUAAUCAACCAUAAGUCAGAAACCUUUGAAAAGUUCAAUGAGUUUAAACAGGAAGUGGAGAAUCAGUUGGGCAGGUACAUUAAGAUGCUUCUAUCCGAUCGAGGUGGUGAGUAUCUUAGUACAGAGUUCCUUGACUAUCUUAAGGAAUGUGGAAUUGUCUCACAUGGUGUGGAUGAGAUGUGCAAUCGAACCUUGUUGGACAUGGUUCGCUCGAUGAUGAGUCGAGCUUCGCUACCAAUCUCAUUUCAGGGGUAUGCCUUAGAGACUGUUGCCCAUAUCCUUAAUCUAGUCCCUACCAAAAAGGUUGCCAAAACACCUCACGACAUGUGGACUGGAUAAGUUCCCAAUCUAUACCACAUCAAGUUUUGGGGUUGCGAGGCUUUCAUGAGGCGCGAGUCUCAUGAUAAGCUCGAACCUCGAAGUGAGAGGUGUAUUUUCAUCGGCUACCCACGGAAAUCAUGUGGUUACCUCUUCUACAAACCUAGUGAUAAUGUGGUCUUUGUAGCAAGGAGGGGAGUCUUUCGCGAGAGAGAAUUCAUAAGCCAAGGAAACAGUGGGAGGAAAAUUGACCUUGAAGAAAUUAAAGAGUCAAGUGGUGAAGGAACCUCAAACCCUAGCAAUCAACCUGAGGAAGAAACUCAUGUUGAUCCAACAGAUGAGUCUGUACCUCUGAGGCAUUCCACGAGAGUUAGGAAUGCACCUGAGCAUUACUAUGGUUUCCAUAUUACUACAGAAGGUGAUACACUCAUCAGUGAUAGAACACUGUUAAGUCUGGAUGAGUCUAACAGCUACUCGGAAGCCAUGGAAGGCCCCGAGGCUGCCAAAUGGAAAGAGGCUAUGGACAGCGAGAUACAGUCCAUGUAUGACAAUCAAGUUUGGAACUUGGUUGAAAAUGUACCAGGUCGUAAGACAGUCAGGUGCAAAUGGAUCUUUAAGAAGAAGACCGACAUUGAUGGUAAUGUACACACUUAUAAGGCGCGAAUGGUUGCAAAGAGCUUUUCUCAAACUCUGGGAGUUGAUUAUGAUGAGACAUUUUCUCCAGUAGCAAAGAUUAAGUAUAUCAGGGUUAUGCUAGCCAUUGUUGCAUUUCAUGACUAUGAAAUAUGGCAAAUGGAUGUCAAAACUGCUUUCCUUAAUGGGAAGUUGGCUCAGGAUGUUUACAUGAGACAACCAAAGGGUUUUUUCAGCGCAGAGUACCCUAAUAGAGUUUGUAAGCCUAAGAAAUCCAUCUAUGGAUUGAAACAAGCACCUCGCAGAUGGAAUCUUUGUUUCGAUGAGAAAGUCAAAGAGUUUGGCUUUUCAAGGAGUGAAGAUGAAUCUUAUGUAUAUGUCAAGGCUAGUGGGAGUAUAGUUAGAUUUUUGGUACUACAUGUGGAUGACAUACUACUUAUAGGAAAUGACAUCCCAACUCUGCAGGAAGUGAAAUCCUGGCUUGGGAAGUGUUUUGCUAUGAAGGACCUUGGAGAAGCUACCUAUAUCCUAAGGAUAAGGUUUUUGAGAGACAGGAGUAAAAGACUAAUUGGUCUUAGUCAUAGUACCUACUUGGAGAAGGUGUUGAAUAGGUUCAACAUGCAAAAUUUUAAGAAAGGAGAGUUACCGAUCCAAAGUAACGCCAAAUUGAGUAAGACUCAGAGCCCAAGUAUAGAGGCUGAGAUAGCAGAAAUGAGUCGAGUACCGUGUGCUUUCGCUGUAGGCUCGAUCAUGUAUGCUAUGACUUGUACUCGUCCUGAUGUAGCCUUUGCGUUGAGCAUGGUCAGUGGAUAUCAGGGGAACCCUGGCAAGGCUCACUGGACUGCGGUAAAGAACAUUCUCAAGUACCUGCAGAGGACUAAGGAUUGGGUCCUUACUCUCGGUGGGAGUGAUGACUUGAGAGUAGUAGGGUAUAGUGAUGCUAGAUUCCAGACUGAUAGGGAUAAUUUAUGCUCUCAGUCAGGCUGGGUCUUUACCUUAAACGGAGGAGCAAUUUCUGGGAAAAGUUCCAAGUAGGAGACAGUGGCUGAUUCAAUUUGAGAAUCAGAGUAUAUAGCGGUAAGCGAGUCAGCAAAGGAGGCUAUAUGGCUAAAGAAAUUCAUUGGAGAUCUUGGAGUUGUACCACCUAUAAAGGAGCCUAUAGAGAUUUUAUGUGAUAGUGAAAGUGCAGUUGCCUUAGCCAAGGAACCAAGGGAUCAUGGGAGAUCCAGACACAUCGACAGAAAAUACUAUUUUAUCAGACAUCGAGUAGAAGAAGGACUUCUCAUGGCAAAGAGGGUAUCAUCGGAUGAGAACCCAGCAGAUCCCCUCACGAAGGGACUGGGUAGGGUUAAGCAUCUCCAGCAUCUGAGGCGCAUAGGGCUAAAGGAUGAUAUUAGUUUUAGUAAUUAGAUAGUUUUGAAAUGUGUAAAGUGUAAUUGACAUUUGAUGAUGAAAAAAAGUUGUUGUUUAUUUAUGAGUAAAGUGUUGCUAUCUUUUGUCAAUCGUUUACUAUCGUUUCAUUUUGCAUGUUUUGACUUGCAGAAUAAUUAUGUUAUGGUAUUUCAUAUUAUUCAAAUUUUUCCACACUCGGUCGUAUGUUAAAAGUUGAUAUGAAUCAAGAUUCAAGACUGUCAUGAGUUGGCUUGUAGAUGACUAAGAUGUUAGACAUAGCAAGAGUUGCUACAACACUCAUGAGUGCUCAUAAGUCAUGAGUAUUGGAUUCAACCAACGCUCACUUGUAUCACUGCAUGGAAUUUAUCUCGAGUGAUCGUGAGACAGUAAUAUCAUAUAAGUCUUCAAACCUAGAGAUAUGAGUUGUUGAUUAUGAGUUGGUUAUACAUUGAUUGUACGAAAACGCAUUGGUAACUCGAUGUUAUAAUACGUGCCUUUGUGUAUGAUUCAACAAGUAGUAGAACAAGCAUAUGAGUCGAAAUUUAUCUGUUCCUUCUUGGAUUAGAAGCGAUAUCUGGGCCCCUCGAUGAUUUUGUGUUGACCUUGUUGGAUUAGGUGUCUAAGUUCAUAACUAUUUUUGGGAUGUACUUGAACCGGUUGGCAUGGUCCAUUUGGGUUGCAUGGCAUCAUGCAUUUGGAUAGACUAAAAUGAGAGAAAUAACACUUAAGGUUUAAUAAUAUAUUAUAAGUUCUAAUAUAUUAAUAAUAUUAUUUGAUUAGUAUUGAUCAAGAAUUAAUUUGGAAUUAAUUAAGUGAUCAAAAGAAGACUAAUUAAAUAUAUGGGUUGAUUGUGUAAAUCACCCAUUACUUGUAUAGUGGGCUAAUGCUCCAUGGAUUAUCAAGUUGGGCUAAAACCCAUAGAAUGCUCCAUGGAUGGUCCAUGGUGUCUUUGAACCCAUGGAUCAUGGAAAUGAAGAGUCACGUCAAGUUAGGGUCCCUACUUAUGACACACUAUAAAAGGAAUAUGUGAGCAAGAAAAAUCGGGACUAGUGAGAAUAAGAGGGCAUAGCCGAUUUUAGAAGUGUUACAUUUCGUUGAAGGUUAUUCCAAGUGUAUUUGGUGUUGUAUGAGACAUUUGAGGCAUCACACUUGAGGUGCUAGGCUCACAAGGUUAUCAAGGAAUUCAAGCAACUAAAGGUAUGUAUUUCUUACUAUCUUUUAUUUUUAAAAGUUCCCCAUGUAUACUAGAUAGGUUAUGAAACUUGGAAAAACAAAUUUGCAUGUAUCAUAGAUAAAACAUGGAUCCUAGGUUUCUAGGGUUGCAUGUACACCAUAGGAGUGUUAGAGUGCUCAAAACCCAACAGUGGUAUCAGAGCCUAGGCUUGUUUUCUUGAUAUUUGAUGCAAACUUGCUGAAAAACUCGAAAAUCGACUGUCUGGACAGAGGACUCGCCGAGUCCAUGGGGGACUCAACGAGUCCAUGCCUAUAUUCAAGCAAAUCGACGAGUCAGUUCAUGCACUCGACGAGUUGGCUUGUCAGACUACAGUUUUUCGACUUUUGCUGCUGGAAAUGGACUAGAAAUAUUACCCUAACCUGUUUGGUCUUAUAAAACUUGUUUUAGAUGGUGUAAUGGUUAUGUUAAUCCAUUUUCAAUAGAUAUUAUCAAAUUUUCAAGUUUUAUAUGGUUAAUUUUAUGAUUCUUGAAAUUGUUGAUAUGUAUGUUCAUGAACUUAUGAUUUUAGAAGAUCAUAGGAAUUAUUUGUAGCUUGCUUGUUAGUUUAAUUCUUGAUCAUUAUGUGUUUUAAUGGAAUCCAUAAUUUGUCCUCAAGUUAUGGAUUACUAAAAGUCAUUCUUUUAAAGUCCAUUAUGAAACACAUAGGUUACAUACAAUGAAAAGUCACUCAUUUUAAUAAAUCAUUUAACUCAUAAGUUAUGAAAGAUGAAAAGUUUUGAAAGUUACAAAACUUGCCCUCAAGUUUUGGUACAUGUAAAGUCUCUUUAAAAACUUUAGUUCCAACCCCUAGAAUUUUAAAAGUUAAAAUUCAACCCAUAUAUUUUAUAAUAUUAUAAGUUUAAUAAUAAUUACAUAUGUAUAAGAAAAAGUCAUUUACUGUUAGUAGGCCUCAUUCACGAAGCCAGUCUAUAAGGGGAGUAUAUGGUUGUUGCCUAUAAAAUGGCAGCUUAAUGGGUGUCCACUCUCACCCACCGCUUCCUUGAUCGGUGGAGGGUCGUUAGCCGAACGGGUAAGACAAGGAAUUUAAAUCUUCAUUAAAAGUAUGAUGAAUAUAAAGUAAAUAAAUGUUUUUAUAAAUUCCCAAUCUUAGUUAAUUUAGGAAAAUGUUAAUAUGGUGCUAACCCAUUGAAAUUACACUUUGCACUUUUCUUGAGUCGGUUAGUGGAGUGCGUGUGGUUAACUGGUACACUAGCUGGACUUAACAAGGUAGGCAAAGGGUAACUUAAUGUUUAUCAUAGUAUCGAUGGAGCGCAUGUGGUUAACCGGCACAUCGAUUGAGGGGUAAACAUUAAGGGUACCAAGUAAUUUGCAUGGUUACUUCACACCUUGUUUUGUGGUCCGCGACAUCCCAGUCACAAAUUCUGAAGGGCACACUCGAGAUUGAAACGUGCCAUUGAAAAAGUUCAAUGAAUCUCAUAGAAUAUAGGAGUUUCAAAACCAAUUAAAACCUAAUAAUUUAUUUCGUUUUUCAUGGUGGAAGUUGGUGAAUCGUCAUUCGCCUACCUUCAAAUAUUUUAUAGUUUGGAUUACAGCAUCCCUCUCCCAAGUUAUAAAACUUUUUGUUGGGUCCUAGCCUUAAUAUAUCAUAUUGGGUGUUAUAUUAAGGACUUUAAAUCAACUAUCUUGAAUAUCUCCCAAAAGAUGUUUGGUUUAGACAAUUAUGAUCUUCCCAAAACUCUUGGAAUAAGCUUUCCUAAUGAAGAUGAUUUCCCGUGACUGGAUCAUGGAAAUCAUACUUCAAUUCCUCCACAUCCUCCAAUUAUUUUCCCUAACCCACAAGUUCAAGGUCACUCAAUCCCUAUUGGCAAGCAAGGUCUAUGUGUGAUCACAUCUUGGAGAUGAAGUCACAUAUUGACAAGUCGGGAGAGUUGGGUGUCAAAGUCUUGAGAAAGUUGGUUGUUCAAUAACUUUCUAAGUCACAUAAUGAGUGUCCUUUGGGACUACUAUGUAAAAGACUAUGACAUGACCCUUAUUGAUCUUAUCUAUUUUCUUGGUGCUGCUGAAUCAGAAAUGAUUUGGAGCUCUGGUAAAGCAAAUUUGAUUAGUAGAUCAACUUGCCAAACUACCAUGGACAUUGACAAAUUAUUGACAUUGGAAAUCCAGAAAGCUUUCUCUUCCCAAUGGAAAGGGAUCAGCCAUAGUCAACUCGGUUGACCAGAUGGUAAAGAGAAAGGCUAAGUCUGAGAUAGUCUUGUGUGCCAUUCCCAAAGGGUCCAUAUGGUUCUACUGCAAAAAAGGAAGAGGCAUUGGUUGCAAAGCUGCCCUAACUACAUGAAAGAUCUGAGAGAAGUUCUAGUCAGAAAGUUUGAUUAUGCUUCAGGUAAGUCCACUAUCUAACUCUGUUAAGUUCCUUAUUGAUGAGUCUUAAUACAAAAUGUGACUCGGUUACAUUUUGGUGUUUGUCAGAAUCAAGAAAAUGGAAGGAUACUUAAAGAAAAAGUAUGUUGAAUCUGAUCACGAAGAUGGAUUUCAAUCGCACGGUUCGAAGAUCGGAUUCUUGAGCUACUACUUAGGAGUUAUGAUAGAUUGCUAGGAAAUAUGUAAUAGCAUAGUUUUCAUUUAAAGCUGCAUUGUAAGGAAAAAAGAAUUCCGCAUUUUAUAAAUAAAUAAAAUUUUGAUUUUAUUUUAGUUUAUAUCUCCUUGCAAUGGCUUUUAUGGAAAAUUGAUGUGUAUAUGUUUCUAGAAAUAGUGGAAAUGUGAAUUUGAUUCUUUCAUUUGUGGUAGUGUCUAAAUUUACCAAGUAAGGAAAUAUUCUCAUCACCCAAGGUUUCAAUUGGACCGAAACUUG